UAUUUCCCUACCUUGGAGAAGUGGUCUUUUGUAGGAGACAUACUAUGCAUCCAGGUAGCAUAUUACCUGCUCAUAACCCAAACUAUAGGCUCUAGAGGCUUCAUCUAUGAGGGCUUCAGGGGUCUUUCUGUUGUGGUGGGCUGACUAUAUGGGAUUCUGGUAGGGUUGGUUGGCCCCUGGUCAGGUUGAUUGCCAGGCCCUACCUUGUCCAGAGGCUGCCAGCCACUGGUUGGUGGGACCAGGACAUGAAGAAGCUGACUAUGGAACCCCAGGGGGCUCCAGGUCUUAUGCUGGCUCACUGCUGGGCUGAGUCAGAGUCUAGAAGACUCAGGGUGUUGCCUACCCACUGGUGUGUGAAGCCAAGUUCUGGGGUUAGAGCCAGGUCCUGGAGUCUGGUUGCAAAACCCAGGGACCCCAGAGUUGGUGUUGGAUUGCUAGUGGGGCAGGGUAGUUUCUGACACAGUUGGGUCUGGGGUUCAGGGUUUCCUAAAGCUUGUUGGCCUGAUAGUGGGCAGGGCCAGGGCCCAGCUAGUCUCAGGACAGAAUCUGGCCUGCUGAUGGGCAGGCUGGGUCCACAGGCUGUAGGAUUCUGGGUUUCUUGAGUCUGGUGUCUGCCCCCUGGUGGGUGAGGUUGGUCCAGAGGCUAGAACAGGCUCCCUUAAGGGCAGGGCUUGGGCCCAGGGUAUUCUUGGACUGGUGCCUGCUCACUGGUGGGUGGAGCUGUAUCCUGGGCCCUCUGGGAGGUGGCAGGGUCAUGUCUAGAGGUGGCAGGGUCAUGUCUAGAGGUGGUUGCGGGCUCAGGGGAUCUUAAGGCAGCCAGUCCCUGAUGAGUGGGGCUGUGAACCCACUCAUUAGUUGCUUGGCCUCAGACAUCCCAGCACUGAACACCUACAGGCUGUUGGGUGGGACCAUGUCUUUGUGCUAAUGAGCUAGAGGAGUAUUCCACAAUGGUGCUUGCUAGUAUCAUUGUCCAUGUGGUAGAAGGAGCUCCCAACAACUGCUGCCUACAGUGUCUAUAUUCUGAGGUUGAGCUGCAGUUGCCUCCUGCUUCUCCUGCAGACUCUCCAGAUCAUCAGGCUCCGGAUGCACAGGCUCAGCAGCCAUGGCUCACGGGCCCAGCAGCUCCGCGACAUGUGGGAUCUUCCCGGACUGGGGCAUGAACCCGUGUCCCCUGCAUCGGCAGGCGGACUCUCAACCACUGCGCCACCAGUCUGCUGAUGCCUGGGAAACCAC